GCAUAUCAAUAAGCGGAGGAAAAGAAACCAACAGGGAUUGCCUCAGUAACGGCGAGUGAAGCGGCAAGAGCUCAAAUUUGAAAUCUGGCCCCUUUGGGGUCCGAGUUGUAAUUUGCAGAGGAUGCUUCGGGAGCGGUCCCCAUCUAAGUGCCCUGGAACGGGACGUCAUAGAGGGUGAGAAUCCCGUAUGGGAUGGGUGGCCGCGCCCGUGUGAAGCGCCUUCGACGAGUCGAGUUGUUUGGGAAUGCAGCUCUAAGCGGGUGGUAAAUUUCAUCUAAAGCUAAAUACUGGCCGGAGACCGAUAGCGCACAAGUAGAGUGAUCGAAAGAUGAAAAGCACUUUGAAAAGAGAGUUAAAUAGCACGUGAAAUUGUUGAAAGGGAAGCGUUGUCCACCAGACUCGCCCGGGAGGGUUCAGCCGGCACUUGUGCCGGUGUACUCCCUUUCGGGCGGGCCAGCAUCGGUUUGGGCGGCCGCUAAAAGGCCUCGGGAAUGUAGCACCCUCCGGGGUGCCUUAUAGCCCGGGGUGACAUGCGACCUGCCUGGACCGAGGUUCGCGCUUCGGCGAGGAUGCUGGCGUAAUGGUGGUCAACGGCCCGUCUUGAAACACGGACCAAGGAGUCUAACAUCUAUGCGAGUGUUCGGGUGUCAAACCCGUCCGCGCAGUGAAAGCGAACGGAGGUGGGAACCCUUUUGGGUGCACCAUCGACCGAUCCUGAAGUCUUCGGAUGGAUUUGAGUAAGAGCAUAGCUGUUGGGACCCGAAAGAUGGUGAACUAUGCCUGAAUAGGGCGAAGCCAGAGGAAACUCUGGUGGAGGCUCGCAGCGGUUCUGACGUGCAAAUCGAUCGUCAAAUUUGGGUAUAGGGGCGAAAGACUAAUCGAACCAUCUGGUAGCUGGUUCCUGCCGAAGUU
rnacentral:rRNA from 1 species